GUGGUAAUGCCGGAUGCUCCGGUUGGAUGCAUGUCCUUCCGGGAAAGAUCCGUCGGUAUGGGAUGGGGUCGCGUCCUAUCAGCUUGAUGGCGGGGUAACGGCCCACCAUGGCUUCGACGGGUAGCCGGCCUGAGAGGGCGACCGGCCACAUUGGGACUGAGAUACGGCCCAGACUCCUACGGGAGGCAGCAGUGGGGAAUAUUGCACAAUGGGCGCAAGCCUGAUGCAGCGACGCCGCGUGCGGGAUGGAGGCCUUCGGGUUGUAAACCGCUUUUGAUCGGGAGCAAGCCCUUCGGGGUGAGUGUACCCUUCGAAUAAGCGCCGGCUAACUACGUGCCAGCAGCCGCGGUAAUACGUAGGGUGCAAGCGUUAUCCGGAAUUAUUGGGCGUAAAGGGCUCGUAGGCGGUUCGUCGCGUCCGGUGUGAAAGCCCAUCGCUUAACGGUGGGUCCGCGCCGGGUACGGGCGGGCUGGAGUGCGGUAGGGGAGACUGGAAUUCCCGGUGUAACGGUGGAAUGUGUAGAUAUCG
rnacentral:rRNA from 1 species